rnacentral:lncRNA from 1 species
CACAGGGCCACCGGGAACGGGGAGCUGGGAGCUGGGGUGGGCGGCAGGAGGGGAGUAGAUCCAUGAAGCUCCUCCAAGCCGGGGUGCACAGCACUGAGACCUGCCCCGGCUGAGCCAGCGCCACAUCCCAGCUCCGCAUCGCGGCAGGACACUGAUGCUGGAGGAAGAUGCUGUAUGGAGCCUGCAGCCGGGUGGUGCUGAUGCUGGUGGCCGUGUCCCUGUGCUCUGCAGACGAUGAGCUGUUGUGCGCCUGCGACGUCCCGCACUGCAGCACACCGACCUGCAAGGGCAAGGUGUGCUUCGUCAGCAAGAGGAAGGAGGAUGGGACCAUCACCCAGCACCGGGGCUGCUUCUCCCAGCACAUCCUGGAGAACUGCCACACACCCGUGACGGAGC